GCGGGAUUAGUUUAAUGGUAGAACGACUGGUUGCCAAUCAGUCAGCAGGAGUUCGAUUCUCCUAUCCCGCA
rnacentral:tRNA from 1 species